rnacentral:rRNA from 1 species
GACGAACGCUGGCGGCGUGCUUAACACAUGCAAGUCGAACGGUGAAGCGAGUGCUUGCACUCGUGGAUCAGUGGCGAACGGGUGAGUAACACGUGAGUAACCUGCCCAUCACUCUGGGAUAAGCACUGGAAACGGUGUCUAAUACUGGAUACGACCAACCCUUGCAUGGGGUGUUGGUGGAAAGAUUUAUCGGUGAUGGAUGGACUCGCGGCCUAUCAGCUUGUUGGCGGGGUAAUGGCCCACCAAGGCGACGACGGGUAGCCGGCCUGAGAGGGUGACCGGCCACACUGGGACUGAGACACGGCCCAGACUCCUACGGGAGGCAGCAGUGGGGAAUAUUGCACAAUGGGCGAAAGCCUGAUGCAGCGACGCCGCGUGAGGGAUGACGGCCUUCGGGUUGUAAACCUCUUUCAGCAGGGAAGGAGCGAAAGUGACGGUACCUGCAGAAGAAGCACCGGCUAACUACGUG